GAGGGAAUGGGUGCCUCUGUCCAGGAGCUGAAGUUCUGGGUAGCACAUGACAGUGUCCACUACACCAUGGAGCCCUGCUUUGAAGAAGCACCUGUGCCUCUUGUGCUCUAUGGAACAUGCUUUGGGAAUGCUGCCUAUAAGACUGCAGUUUAGAGAUAAGCAAUCUGUAAUUGGAAGCUAUGGGUCUAAUUGUAUUUAUCCAUCCAGAGCAUCUAGUAUAGCAAACUGUGAUACUACAUGAGCCUACCUAGUUUAGGCACUUUGGGCAAGUUUAGGCACAAUUUAGGCACAAUCUGUAAGGCAAGCUUAGAAUAUCUGCCUAUAGUAUCUAGAAAUAAAUGAUGUUGAGUGUCUUACAGUGUAAUGCAGACUUAAGCUAGUUAGUGGUGGAACUGAGACUUGGAGAGGUGCCUGGCUCUCAGGUCAGUUUUGUUCCAUUGCACCCACAAGCCCUUGGUUCUGGAGACAGAGAUGUGAAGAAAUUAUACUGAGGAAUACCUUCACCAAAAGGGCAGCCAACCUUAUGAUUUGGACAUUCUAUUUUGAGACCAGUUAAAAGAGAGAAAUUUCAAUUCAUUUCUCAUUUGUCAUUCACCAGGUCUUGGAUGUCCCUGGGCAAUGCUAAGCUAACAUUCAGCAGUGUCUACAAGAUGACACACAACAUGUUGAAAGAAUGGAGCGGUGAUUCCCUUGGAAGGAUGUGAAAAGCUUUCCAAUCUCGAGGUGAUAUCAGAGCUCUUUCCCAUUGAAACACUUGGAUGCUCUUUCUCCAGCUAUCAUGCUCUCUUUUUUCCACUCAAGGUGAUGCCUAAAUGAACGUGUGUCCACCCUUACCCCAUGACAUCAUCCAAAAGCCAAUCCAUCCAUCUGUGCAUUCAGGCUUAAUACUGAUGACGCUCCAUCUCCAUUUUCAGAAACUUUCUUGGCUCCUUUUUGCUCAAUUUUUGGCUUUUUCUGGGCUCCAGGCAUGCAUCAUUGCACCUUCUGACUCUCCAUUUUGUUAUGCAUGAUCUGCCCUACUCCACGCCUUGAACUUGGGGGCAGACUUAGUUCUUCCAUUUUGUGUCUCUGAGAAAUGGAUUUCUUUUUCUUUUUCUUUUCUUUUCUUUUUUUUUUUUUUUGAGAUGGAGUCUUGCUCUGUCAUCAGGCUGGAGUGCAGUGGCACAAUCUCUGCUCACUGCAACCUCUGCCACCCAGGUUCAAGUGAUUCUCCUGCCUCAGCCUACCAAGUAGCUGCGACUACAGGUGCCCAACGCUACGCCCAGCUAAUUUUUGUAUUUUUAGUAGAGAUGGGGUUUCACCAUGUUGGUCAGGAUGGUCUCAAUCUCUUGACCUCAUGAUCUGCCCGCCUCGGCCUCCCAAAGUGCUGGGAUUACAGCCAUGAGCCACCGCACCUGUCCAAGAAAUGGAUUUCUUUUGCCCCAUGAUUUUGUAUCCUUGGCCGCUUUAAAUAAUUCUAUCGACACAAGGGCUGGUACUUGGAUCCCAUCCUUAACAUUCAUCUGAAAGGUCUACAACCCUAACAUGAGACAGCAGGACCAUCUGGGGUUACAACUUGCUCAGACUGGUUAUGAAUAGGGUGUGCAUUCUGGCUCAAGCAGUGUGGAAGCCACUCAGGAUAACCACACUGCUGACAUCUUCAUAGGCACCUCAUCAUAACAAAAUUUUAAAAUUUAAAUAUAAUUUUAAUGAUUUUCAGAAAAGAAGAGAAUGCAGGUUCCCACAGAUACUGCAAGCCCCCUCAAGCUUAGGCAGUGGCCCUAACUUAGAUCUCUCUUCCUUCUAGAUCAACACAGCUGGUAAGUUAGGUCUCAGCUCAUGUAACACUUUCACUUCAACAUCCCUAGGGCACAGUUUCUGGGUUCUCAGCUAAUAUUUGUUAAAUGAAUGAAAAACUGUCUGUGUAUCUCUUUUAUCAUCAAGUGAUUCAGACCCCAAAGUUUUAUACCCUCAGAAAAAAAGUCAAGCGUUGCCAAAAUGGAUUUAUAUUUGCACUGUAUUUUUCAUUCCAAUGGCAGCUCAAAGUACCAUUUGGUGCUGUAAGCAUGAAUGAAAAUUGUGCAGGGCUUCUCACGGGCAGAAUAAUAAGUCACAUCAGCUCUCCAUCCAGACUGUAUCCAUCUGGGUCCUUCAUCCUCAUCUCCCAAUAGCAUCUACUCUUCUUACUCUGAAAAAGAUGACAGCUAUAUUUGUGGUUCAGUUGAGUGAAUUAGAGAUAAUUUCCCCUUUCUCUACACCAGCUGUUUUCUUAAGAUCAAGAGGGUGGUAAAUUCUCAUUGUGUUCUCUUCUCAGCACAAGAGCACCCAACCUCAGGAUUAGUCUCUUCUGUUUAAGAAGAGCAAUCAUUUGCCACUUGACUUUUCACUUCCUUCUGUCAGAGGGGGUCAGUAUUUUUUAAGCAACUGCGUGUCAAUUGCUUCCCUGUCAGCAUUUCAUCAUUACUAGGCUGACCUCUCUUUAAAGAGCCUUUCUACUUCAAAAACAUAGAGAUGUAUUUGAGAAUGGGGUGAAGAAAGGCCAUUGGAGGGAUAUAUAAUAAGGCAUCAUUAAUGAAUGCCAGUUAAAAAAUCUAACACACAUUUUUAUCUUUGAGUUCUUAGGGAAACUUUGAAAAGUUACAUUUGAAUAAACAGCCCUUGGAAAGGAGCACAAUUUAAUUAAUUCCUUAGACGUUUAUUGUGAGCCUACAAAGGGUAAGACCCUGUCUGUCUUGAUCCUGUCUUGCUCAGCAAUGGAGGGUUCAUAACGGCACCUGCCUGGUUGGAGAGAGGUUUAAGCAGAUGACAAGGAGGAAGUGCCUGGUGCAGGAUAAGGCCUCAGGAAUGGCCCAGGUUGUCCCUGCUUGGAGCUUCAGGUAGAUUACAAUCUAGCAAAGAGGCAAAACAAAGCAAAACAACAACAAAGAUUUUGUCCUAAGGCAAACACAUUUUGCCUUAAGACAAAAUAUUGGAAAAUGCCAUAUGUCUUUUGUCUAAGGUCAAACCAUGCCUUAUGGGAGGGCAAAGGUAAGGGAGGUUGUACUAAUCUGCUCUCACACUGCUAAUAAGACAUACCCGAGACUGGGUAAUUUAUAAAGGGAAGAGGCUUAAUGGACUCACAGUUCCAUGUGGCUGGGGAGGCCUUGCAAACAUGGCAGAAGAUGAACGAAGAGCAAAGGUACUUCUUACAUGGUGGUGGGCAAGAGCACAUGUGCAGGGGAACUCCCCUUUAUAAAACCAUCAGGUCUCAUCAGACUUAUUCACUGUCAUGAGAACAGCACAGGAAUGACCCGUCCCCAUGAUUCAAUUAUGUCCCACUGGGUCCCUCCCACAACAUGUGGGAAUUAUGGGAGCUACAAUUCAAGAUGAGAUUUGGGUGGGGACACAGACAAACCAUAUCACAGGUUAUCUGUGCAUCAGAGAUUCUCCUCAUGGCCAAGGUUAUAUUUGCUCUAGGUGUUGAAGAAUAGGUAGAAUUUCCAUAUGCGUGGAUGUGAGUAGGAUAUUCUAGACUAUAAACAAAAAGUAGGGGUUUCAACCAGUGCCAACUGAUACUUUAUACUGCCUGGGCAUGCCAGGAAAGGUGGAAGUCAAUGCAUUCCAAGGACUGAGGGGUUCCUGGGUGGUCUUUUAUCUUAAGAGGUGAAGGAAUGAGACAUGGCGAGCCCUAACCAUCCAGUUGGAGUCAUGAUGAGAUCACAACUGCAUAACUAGAAAGAUUGGUCUGCAGGACCUAUAAGAGAUAUUGAGGGGAGAGACUUAGGGUUGGGAAGGUGUAAGGAGGACAUUGAGAAAGUUCAGGUCAGGGGUCAUUAUGUCUUUGACUAGGGCUGUAACCAAGGAACUUGAACGUAUGAAAUAGUGGCUGUAGAACUUGCAUGUAGGAGGUACUUGGGGCUGGCAAUUGGCUUGGAGGGAUGCCUAGAAGACUUGGCUUGAAAUGGGUGUGCAGAGCCAGAUCAGGGCUCUAACUCAGAUUCAACAUCUUGGUUAUUUACAGAAGCUGUGUAUGUGUAUGGCAGGGAGUGCUCAUGGAGAGAUAAUGAGAGGUAGAGUAAAUUACCCCCAAGAUACACUUUUAGCAUUUUCACUAGAAAAGAGGGUGGAGAUGAGUUUGAAAUCAAAAUCGUUAUCACCUUCAAUGUCUUAAUUAGGUUUCAGACUUCUCUUUCUUCCCUUGUAAAAUGAGAAGAAUCUAAUGGAUUUUAUGCAAUGUUACUUUAAACAUUAUGAAUCUAUGGAUUUCAUGCUUGUUUCCCUUGAGAGUCUGUCAAUUCUGUGGUUUGAUUUGUAAGAGUAGAUCUUGCCAAUUUUUGUCAUUUUCAUGGUUGCUACCAGAGGCUUCAGGAAGCCAGAGGAUGGUUGUAGCUGUAGUUUUGAGGUGGUUUUGCUUUUCUUUUUUUAAUUUUAAUUUUAAUUUUAUUUAUUUAUUUAUUAUUAUUAUUAUUUUUGACAUGAAGUCUUGCC
rnacentral:lncRNA from 1 species